rnacentral:rRNA from 1 species
UUACGGUCACAUCAUGUUGAAACAUCAGUUCUCUUACGAUCACCGAAGGUAAGCAACGACGAACCUGGUCAGUACAUAGAUGGGUGACCGCUUGGGAAUACCAAGUUCCGUAA